UGGUGAACACUGUGCAUCAUGCAGUUAAAU
rnacentral:piRNA from 1 species